GCGUAUGCAACCUACCUUUUACAGGGGAAUAGCCCGGAGAAAUUCGGAUUAAUGCUCCAUGGUUUAUAUGAAUGGCAUCGUUUAUAUAAUAAAGAUUUAUCGGUAAAAGAUGGGCAUGCGUAUCAUUAGCUAGUUGGUGUGGUAACGGCAUACCAAGGCUACGAUGAUUAGGGGUCCUGAGAGGGAGAUCCCCCACACUGGUACUGAGACACGGACCAGACUCCUACGGGAGGCAGCAGUGAGGAAUAUUGGUCAAUGGAGGCAACUCUGAACCAGCCAUGCCGCGUGCAGGAUGACGGUCCUAUGGAUUGUAAACUGCUUUUGUACGGGAAGAAAUGUAAUUACGUGUAAUUAUUUGACGGUACCGUAAGAAUAAGGAUCGGCUAACUCCGUGCCAGCAGCCGCGGUAAUACGGAGGAUCCGAGCGUUAUCCGGAAUUAUUGGGUUUAAAGGGUUCGUAGGCGGUUGAGUAAGUCAGUGGUGAAAUCUUAUAGCUUAACUAUAAAAUUGCCGUUGAUACUGCUUGACUUGAAUAGUAUGGAAGUAAUUAGAAUAUGUAGUGUAGCGGUGAAAUGCUUAGAUAUUACAUGGAAUACCAAUUGCGAAGGCAGAUUACUACGUACUUAUUGACGCUGAUGAACGAAAGCGUGGGUAGCGAACAGGAUUAGAUACCCUGGUAGUCCACGCCGUAAACGAUGGAUACUAGCUGUUCGGUUUUCGGACUGAGUGGCUAAGCGAAAGUGAUAAGUAUCCCACCUGGGGAGUACGUUCGCAAGAAUGAAACUCAAAGGAAUUGACGGGGGCCCGCACAAGCGGUGGAGCAUGUGGUUUAAUUCGAUGAUACGCGAGGAACCUUACCAAGGCUUAAAUGUAGAUUGACAGGUUUAGAGAUAGACUUUUCUUCGGACAAUUUACAAGGUGCUGCAUGGUUGUCGUCAGCUCGUGCCGUGAGGUGUCAGGUUAAGUCCUAUAACGAGCGCAACCCCUAUUGUUAGUUGCCAGCGGGUCAAGCCGGGAACUCUAACAAGACUGCCGGUGCAAACCGUGAGGAAGGUGGGGAUGACGUCAAAUCAUCACGGCCCUUACGUCUUGGGCUACACACGUGCUACAAUGGCCAGUACAGAAAGCAGCUACCAGGCAACUGGAUGCGAAUCUCAAAAACUGGUCUCAGUUCGGAUUGGAGUCUGCAACUCGACUCCAUGAAGCUGGAAUCGCUAGUAAUCGGAUAUCAGCCAUGAUCCGGUGAAUACGUUCCCGGGCCUUGUACACA
rnacentral:rRNA from 1 species